GUCAGGAUGACUGAGUGGUCUAAGGUGCUGCAUUCAGGUUGCAGUCUCCCCUGGAGAUGUGGGUUUGAAUCCCACUUCUGACA